UUAGGUCGAUCGGUACCUCAAACUUUAUCCACAUAAACUGAUUUUUAAGCUUUAUGUGGAUAUAACUUUUAGUUCCUAAACUUGUCUAGGUCACACCCCAUCAAGGGUUUCUCCUGGGCCAUUAGCUCAGGUGGUUAGAGCGCACCCCUGAUAAGGGUGAGGUCCCUGGUUCAAGUCCAGGAUGGCCCAUUCGGUGUUGGGGGUUUAGCUCAGUUGGUAGAGCGCCUGCUUUGCAAGCAGGAUGUCAGCGGUUCGAGUCCGCUAACCUCCACUGACGAACCUCUUGCAGCGACCCAAUUGUGAGAAUCUUUGUGAGAUGUGAUUUGGACUUAGUUUCCGCUGAGGAACCUAGCUUUCUAUCAUUCCAAUUCUAGUAUUAAUUAUUAGAUGAGGUUGACAGGAUGUUGGGCUCACUAAGACGUAAAACUCUUAGAGAUGUUCAGCAGAACCUUGACAACUGCAUAGGUAAGUCUGGAAAGAAUAAAGCAUCUCAUGGAUGCAUUGUUUUACCGUUUAAAUCUUUAUUUUUUAAAUUAAAGAUUUAAACUAAAAUAGUGUUAUUUCUGAGCAAGAGCCGAGACUCUAUAGCUUUUCUUUUUAUGUAAUAUCAUCAUAAAGAGUUCGAUCUUUGAUUCUAUUUAUUUGCUUUUAGUCAGAUUUUCUGUCUUAGGUUUUAAGAAAAUACGAAUCAACGAGAAAUACGCCUUCAACUGCGUAGACAGCUAUAGAGGUUUAAUUGGUCAAGCUACAA
rnacentral:tRNA from 1 species